rfam:Schistosoma mansoni strain Puerto Rico chromosome W, complete genome
ACCCAGCUGAAGAGUCCCAAAUAGGACGAAACGCUCAUCAAACUGGAU